rnacentral:tRNA from 2 species
GGAGAAGUACUCAAGUGGCCGAAGAGGCGCCCCUGCUAAGGGCGUAGGCGUGUUAAAGCGCGCGAGGGUUCAAAUCCCUCCUUCUCCGCCA